CUACAAUGAUGGCAGUAUUUUUCGUCAACAGCAGUUCACCUAGCAGUGAGUGUUGAUACCUUGGGUCUGAGUGA